rnacentral:rRNA from 1 species
GGCGAACUCUGGCGGCAUGCUUAACACAUGCAAGUCGAACGUAAAGGCCCCCUUGUGGGGUACUCGGGUGGCGAACGGGUGGGUACCAGGGGGGGAACCUACCCUUGUCUCUGGGAUCACUUCAGGAGACUGGGGCUAAUACCGGAUACGAGCUCCUGGUGCAGGGUGGGAGUUGGAAGGGUUCGGCGGCUGGGGAGGGACUCGCGGCUUAUCAGCUUGGUGGUGGGGUAGUGGCUCACCAAGGCUUUGACGGGUAGCCGGCCUGAGAGGGUGACCGGCCACAUGGGGAAUGAGAUACGGCCCAGACUCCUACGGGAGGCAGCAGUGGGGAAUAUUGCACAAUGGGCGGAAGCCUGAUGCAGCAACGCCGCGUGCGGGAUGACGGCCUUCGGGUUGUAAACCGCUUUCGCCUGUGACGAAGCGUGAGUGACGGUAAUGGGUAAAGAAGCACCGGCUAACUACGU